rnacentral:misc_RNA from 1 species
GAUGAAGAACGCAGCGAAAUGCGAUAAGUAAUGUGAAUUGCAGAAUUCAGUGAAUCAUCGAAUCUUUGAACGCACAUUGCGCCCGGUAGUAUUCUGCCGGGCAUGCCUGUUCGAGCGUCAUUUCAACCAUCAAGCCCCAGCGCUUGUGUUGGGGGCCUGCGGCUGCCGCAGCCCCCUAAAAGCAGUGGCGGGCUCGCUAUCACACCGAGUGCAGUAGUUCAUCUUCUCUCCGAUCUUGUGAGGCGGGUUCCGGCCGUGAAACACCCCACUACAUUCAAGGUUGACCUCGGAUCAGGUAGGAAUACCCGCUGAACUUAAGCAUAUCAAUAAGCGGAGGA